rnacentral:lncRNA from 1 species
CCAGCUCCGGACUCCAUAGCUCCCUGGGAGCUGCCUGAGAACCGUCCUAGGUUGGGUUCCUUGGUACCCUGGCCAUAGUGACCCACAAGGAUGGUAAGUCCCUGCCCCUCUCCCAGGGAUCAUCCUGGCUGUGCCAAGCCCAGGGUAGCCCUCUGUCCGGCCUCCCAGCCCACACCUUCAGCCUGGGAAGCCCUGACCUUGUACAGCAUGGACUCCCCAAGACCAAGGCAGGUCACCUCCAGGACCCCAAGAAGGCCUCCCCCUUACCCAUUCCCCUUUGCCUCACCCUCUCCCAAUGGCCAGUCGAGGUGGCCCAGGUGUAGCCUACACACCUUCCCUGGGCCGGGCAGCCCUCCACCCAUCCAGGUCCUCUUGCCCACCCCACCUUUGGAGCCCCUUUCCCAGCCCCUCUUUUUUUCUGUCUUUUUCUUUUUGGCACCGGGGAUUGAGCCCAGGGGCACUUAACCACUGAACUACAUAUCCAGCCCUUUUUGUUUUAUUUUUUAUUUCUAAAAAGGGUCUCACUAAGGUUCUUAGGUCCUUGCUAAGUUGCAGAGGCUGACUUUGAAUGUGCAAUCCCCCUGCCUCAGCCUCCUUAGCUGCUGGGAUUAUAGGUCCUCUUAUGAGCACACUGACAGUCUCAGGAUAGGACUUGGCUACCUGUACUCCCACCACAUGCCCCUGCAGGCUCGUGGCCCUCCAGGCCCCAACACCCCUACCUGUGCCUACUUCUCUAUCCAGAUAUCUAACAAGCAUCUUGGGCUAUAAAGGACCAG